ACGGCAUCUUUGAAGGUCUAGGGCUUUCUUCACCGCCGCACUUUUACUACUUUGCCAUGAUGAAAUCCUCAGAGGAUUGUCGAGUGAUUGGGGGCAUUGAGCCUCCAAUGUGAUACUCUCAAAACUGCAAAAGAUUUCUGAGCGAAGAUUUGAUUUUUAGAGCUAAAGUAGAUCGGUUGUUAGGAAGAAUUCGAUUUAUGGGUUAUCAAGAUUGAUGUUUGAAUCGCCGCCAAGGAUUCUGAUCGCGGAUUUAACUCUUCUCCUAUGAUUUUGCAGUAUUUUACUUUGUUUGCAGUUGUUGAUCGAAAUAAAUUGAUUUUUUUUUAGCAGUAAUGAAACCUCUCGUAUCCUGCGCCGCCCGUCUGGUAGCAGCCGCGUGUUCGCCGAGGCGAGCACGAUCGCGGGUGGUGCCGCUUGCUGCAGUGGCGCUUCCUAGCGGGCUCGUCGAUGAUGUACUGAUGCUGGCGGAAGCUGCAUCCUCUUUGCGCUCGGAGAGAAGCGGAGGAUUACGCGACGAGCACCUCUGCUUCGUUUCUUCGGGAUCUUCACUGCCGCUUGGCCAUUCAGAUGCUUCCUCCUCCGUCUUCUUCCAUACACAACCUUCCCGUCCUGUUCAGUGAGGUACUUUUAUCCGAUUGCUGCUCUCCGUGCAAGUGAUAACUUUCUACCUACUGUUUCGAUCAAACGAUUGCGAAUGAUUAUGCUUUUGUGUUUUAUAGAUUUAUGUGCUCUUGCGAAAUUAUUCAUUUUACUACAGAAACAGAUACGAUUUUAAUGAGGUCAAUAUGUGUUUUGGCCUUCAUCCAUGCUUUUCUUCACUCUUUUCAAUAGUGAAAUUGUACUGAUUGAACUGGUACAGUUUCAUUGGAACUCAUUUAACAAGAAAUGUGAUGAUUUUUGGUUUA